rnacentral:rRNA from 1 species
CACGCGCGCUACACUGAAGGAAUCAGCGUGUGCUCCCCUGUCCGAAAGGUCCGGGUAACCCGCUGAACCUCCUUCGUGCUAGGAAUUGGGGCUUGCAAUUGUUCCCCAUGAACGAGGAAUUCCCAGUAAGCGCGAGUCAUAAGCUCGCGUUGAUUACGUCCCUGCCCUUUGUACACACCGCCCGUCGCUACUACUGAUUGAAUGAUUUAGUGAGGUCUUCGGACCGGCGAUAACCGGCCACCGACUCGUUCGGUAUCGAUU